UCUGUAACUAUUGAGUGUCAUUGACCAAGGUUCAGGUGACCUUUACAUUGCAGGAUAUACGUGUAUGACUUCUUAGCUUUGAUACGCAUGUUCAACAAGUGAGGAAGGUAUCUUCCUUCAGCACCAUAGAAAUUCCCUAGUAAUAGUGCAGCUGCCUUGGUUUGCACUGAAGCAUGCUAAGAAUCUACCAUCAUAGUCUCUAAGUAUGCCAUCACAGGCUGUUUUAUUGUCUUUAAAAACUGAACCAUCUGAAUUUUUUUUAACAAAUGGAUGCUUAGGAGGAAUCCAACGAACCUAUUUCACCAUAAAAUUAUUGACACUCCUCCUUGGCCAUGUAGUAAUCUUUUGUCAAAUGCAUAGCAAAAUCAUGAAUCUUGUAUUCAUCAAUAGCUUUGUUGAGUCGAAACCAUAAGUAAUUCAAAAUACUUGCAAAUAGUGGGGGCUAAGGAAUGCCUUUAAUGAGAGACUAAGAAGAUAAAUUCACGAAUAACCAAGGGAUGAGGGAAAUUAUGAAAAAAUCAUCUGAGCUCAAACUAUUAUAAAUGCUCUUCCAUAUCUUUUGAGCAACCUUACAAUUGCAAAGAAUGUAAAAUAAAGACUCAGAAAGAACCGCAUACAGUGCACGUAUCACUAGACGCCAUUUGUCUUCCACAAACAGAGCUAUUGCUCCAAGAUAAACAAAGAAAAUAUCUUAGGGAAGAGUAGAACACAGACCCAUUUAUCCUAAUCCGCCACAAAUCUCCAUGGUAAGCUUCCUUGCUAGAUCAAAAACAUUCCAAGCUUGAUCUUUUCUCCUUUCAAAGAUUUUUGCAUUUUAGGCCCUUCGUAAACCCCAACAAAUAGCUGCGAACAAGCUCAUCUUCUAAUCCCUAUCAAUCCCAUUUCUGGAGGCAAUGGUUGGUGGUUUCGUCUUCAGAGCCACAUCUUGAACACAGAGAAGGAGAUCGUUGGUGGAUGUUGACCAACAUAGGGGGACACUCAGGAUACAGGCUACCAUGCCUGGGGGGAAGGAAGUUUCAAUUAAACUCCUAUUUCUGGAUACGAUUUUCUUUCAGUAACUCUUUAACUCAAUUGAAACCUAUAAAUAUGUUACUGUCUGGAUUGAGGUAGAAUGGGUUUGGGGGUGAGAGCCAAGAAUCUUGCCAAAUUUGGACACUGUCACCCAUCUUUUUCCACUACUUUUCUCCCUUCCAAUAAAAUUUACCAACCCCAAGAUGAUUGAAAAUCCUUUUUGCUGAGAUAGGAGAGUUAUAUCGAAAGUAUUUUCCCUUAAAAAGAUGCGAGAGCAGUGAAUUCGAUUUAAUUGUUAGCCUCCAAAAUUGCUUGCCCAGUAGCACCAGAUUCUAGGCUUUCAUAUCGUUGAAACCAAGUCCACCCUCCUUCUUAAGCCUCGUCAUAUUAUCCCAGUUGAUCCAUGCCAUCCUUCGUUCUUUACCUUAUUGUCCCACCAGAACUACAUUAGGAUUCUGUGAAUAUCAUCCACUAAUGAGUCUGAUAGCUUAAAACAUGAUAAAGUAUACACCGGUAUCGCCUCAUCCACCGCUUUAAUUAACACAUAUCUCCCAGUAGUUGAGAAGAGGUUCUGUUUCCAAGCUUAUACCUUCUUCUAAACUUUAUCCUUAAUUGCCCCAAAAUUAGUCUUUUUCAAUUUAUGCACAACAGAUUGUAGGUCUAAAUAUUUGUCCUAAGCCCUAGUAUCAAUAAUGUUGAGACUUUCUGCUAGUUCGUGUCUGAAAGAAGGGGUUAUUUUGGUUGAAGAAAACUAAAGAUUUGUUAAGAUUUACUUUUUGACUGCUGAAACUCUCAUAGUUAUUGACUACUCCCAAAGCAUUGGAGCACACUUCUUCAAUAGCCUUAUAGAAAAGAAUUGAGUCAUCCGCAAAAAAAGUAAUUAACAGUCGAACACUUUCUGUGAAUCUGAAUUCCUUGAAUAGUCAUGUUUUACUUUGUUUUGUGUA